rnacentral:tRNA from 1 species
GCCUGGGUGGCUUAGUUGGUUAAGCAUCUGACUCCUGGUUUUGGCUCAGGUCAUGAUCUCACCAUUUGUGGGUUCAAGCCCUGCCUCUGGCC